GCAUACUAUUGUAUUUCUUCUUCUAGUACGGCAAUGCCUGCAAAGCCUCUUGAUGCCAAGGCUCAGAAUUGGUACACCAUCACUUCUGGUGCUUUCUGUCUGUCAAACUGAGUCACAAGAUCAACCCAGACUUAAGGGUAAUAUUCAUGCGAAAUGAGAUUUUAUCCUGAAGCUAAUGAAGUACUCAUUUAGAACACAAGAAGUUGGACCAUGAACAAUUGGACCUGAGGUAAAAUGUGAUUGUAUAAAAACAGAAAAGUCUAUCUGAAGAACAUUCUGGAAAAUUAUCAAGAACUUUUGACAUGGAGGGUGAGCUGUGGAAAAGGGAAUAGCCAACUACGUAAGACAACUGUUAAUCAAGAUAAA